GAGAUCGGGGAUACACCUGGAACAGAUGCUAAUACCGGGAUAACACAGAUGAUGCCUAUCAACUGUUUAAAAGAUGGUUCUGCUAUCACUCUUGGAUGGACCUGCGGUGCAUUAGCUAGUGGUAGGGUAACGGCCUACCAAGGCGAUGAUGCAUAGCCGAGUUGAGAGACUGAUCGGUCACAUUGGGACUGAGACACGGCCCAAACUCCUACGGGAGGCAGCAGUAGGGAAUCUUCCACAAUGGACGCAAGUCUGAUGGAGCAACGCCGCGUGAGUGAAGAAGGGUUUCGGCUCGUAAAGCUCUGUUGUUGGUGAAGAAGGACAGGGGUAGUAACUAACCUUUGUUUGACGGUAAUCAAUUAGAAAGUCACGGCUAACUACGUGCCAGCAGCCGGGUAAU
rnacentral:rRNA from 1 species